rnacentral:lncRNA from 1 species
UGUGGAUAUACACUGACACUCUCAUUGAAAUCUAUUUGCCAGACCUAGUUUAGACAAAAAAAUGAACCAGGCUAUAAGUCUUAAUAUUUGAUUUAAUGGGCUUGUAUCACCUGCUGCCUUACGUUGGGUUUCCUAGACAAAGACCCUGAAAUGAAGACUUGAGUGCAGUAAGUUUAUUGGGAGUAAUCUUGGGAAGCAGGAUUGGGAAUAAGGAAUCCCAUUGAAAGUGCCAGAACUGGGCUUGCCUUUUAGAGUUGUCUCACACUGAGGCAAGGGGCCAAGGCUUUUAUCCAUGUUGGCCACUUUUGUGUGCAGGCUGUCAUCAAGGAGGGGGUGGAAUCUUGGAAGAUGCAGCUGCCCUCGUCACAGGGUGAUCCUGCAUGGAGGGACACACUGUGAGCCGCCAGCAGCCAAUACUGCAGGCAGUUGGGGUUCUAAGCACAGCUGACUAGUAGAGAUGAAUGGGACUAGUUACAUGGAUUUAAGAAUAAUUAUAAAUUAAGAUCUUCAGUGUUUUAAUGAAGAUAUUAUUUGCCUCAAAUGAAAUGUUUCCCAUCAUAGUGGAUUUUAAAGUACCUUCUCCACGUGGGCAGCGUGCUAGCUGGAUGGCUUUUGGCAUAAUUGUUACACGUUUGGCAUGGACAGCAUACAGGUGGCUGUGUCCAUUCUUAAACUUUUGGCUCAUCUUACCAGUUCUUUUACAAAGAUGCAGAUGUUUCUUAAAAGUGGCUGAAAGAUUAGGGACUUUGUGCCUGAUGUGCUGGAAUACGUCUGAGUUCUGUUAAAUCUGAUUUAAACAUAUUAAAUCAAAUCUUUUCUGAUGUAUUCUUAUGCCCUCAUUUUCAUGUAAUGUUACUACUGUGAAGAAGUGUAAUUAAGACUUUGAUAUGAGCCUUCACAGUCUAAAGAGUGCUUCAGUGACAACAGUUUUAUUAGAUUAUGGUGAUGGGCCUGGCUGUGAAAUUCCCACAUUCAUGAAGGACUCUGCUUUUUACUGGCUAAAAACGGGAUUUUAAAAUGCAAUGACCUUUGGGACUCUCAGAUAAGUUGCCUCUUCAACCCUGAGGUUAUUUGAUGAAUUACUGGGGACAUACAGAAGGAUGGAUUAAUGAAUGCUAUGCUCAUCUUGUCUACUGGCACCAUCUGAGGGACUGAAGAUCACGGUGCCUCUUUAGACUUUGGUUUGAAAUUACAAUGUUACCCCCUGCUUUGCUCUAGGAACUCCAUCCUCUCCACUCCAUCACUCUCUAUUAUCUCUAGAAUGCCAUAAAGCACUCACAGUUAUUUUUCCUCAUAGUGGAAAAUCUCUUUAUACAAACUAUAUAAACCGAGGCCCACUAUCCUUAUACAGUCAGGGCCAACCCCUUUCCCACCAAAGACUAAUUCUGCCUGAAUGCCCAGGAUAGUUAUUUCAUGUACAUACACUAUCUGUACCCUAAUCCCAAGCCAGCUAAAUAUAUAUGUCAUACCUGAGGUGGUUGUUUUUAUUACAUGAUGCCUACAUUUAGAAAUAUAAAAUCUCUUAAUUGGUUCCUGUCCUAAUUUUUUUAUAUACUCAAGCUUUUCAGGGCUUUACUCUGAUUUUCCAUAUAUUUCUUUUCCAGUUUUACUUGCUAACAGAACUCUGGUUUCUUUUCAGAUACCAUGCAAAAAAUAGGCUCAGAGAAGGUAUACAUAUGCCCAUGAGUCAUAAUUGGUCUAUCCCUUUCAUCAUAAUUCCAUUCUCCUUUGCCAGGAAUUGGUUUAGGGACGGGCAUGUGACUCAUUCACCAAAUGAACAUAAAAAGUUGUGGAAGAUUUUCCUUUUGUAAAAAAAAAAAAAAAAAAAAAAAAGAGAGAGAGAGAGACUAACUCAUGAGGAAAAUCUCAUGCUCCUCCAUGUUUUUAAAUCUUGUUUCAUUAUAUUUCAUGAGGAUGGGGCCUUGGAGUUGUGGCAACAAUAACAGAGAAGCCAAGAGAAUCCUAUAAAAGCUGACCCAGAGAUGUGACAUUCGUGAGAUGUUAAUUAACCAACUUGGAAACUGUCACUUCUAGACUUCUUGUUGUAUGAAAUAAUAAACCCCUAUUAUUCAAGUCAUACCUUGUUGGGAAUUCUGUUACUUGCAACCCAAAGUACAGUAACUGAAUCCCUCACCUUCUCUUUCACUAGUUAUUUCUUUCUUAGUGCACAUAUCUUUUCUAGCUUCUCUCAGUCUACUUGAUAGGAUAAUAGAACUCAGACUAUUGUAGUUGGCAACACGUAGAGAUCACCUCAUUAAAUCAAGUUUAAUAUACUUAAUUUACUGUAGAGGAAACGAACCUAGGAAGCCACAACAAUUAAUCUACAGUCAUACAGGCAGUCUAGUCUCAACAGAAUUAGAGUAAAAUUCUGGUUUUCUGAAUUGCAGUUAAGUCUCUCUACAACAAUUUGGUCCAAUUUCCCCUAUUACUCUGCACUCCCUCAAUCCAGCCAUAGCUCAUUAAAAAUUGGCAUGCUGUACAUCUUAUAUAUGAAGUACAUAAGACAAGCCAAGCUCAAUGGUUCACACCUGUAAUCCCAGCACUUUGGGAGGCUGAGGUGAGUGGAUCACUUGAAGUCAGGAGUUUGAGACCAGCCUGACCAACAUGGUGAAACCUCAUCUCUACUAAAAAUACAAAAAUUAGCUGGGCCUGGUGUCACAUGCCUUUAGUCCCAGCUACUCAGGAGGCUGAGACAGGAGAAUUGCUUGAACCCAGGAGGCAGAGCUGCAGUGAGCCGAGAUUUCACCACUGCACUUCAGCCCGGGUGACAGAGCAAGACUCUGUUUCAAAAAUGUAAAAAAUAAUAAUAAAAAUAAAGUACAUGAGAUAAAUCUUAUCUACAAAAAAUAGAUAAAGCAUACAUCCAUACAUACACCCAAUUUGUCAAAGGAAUUUAGUCAUCAAAGGACACUUUCAUGGACUCCUAGGAAGAUCGCUAUAUCACAGUUUCCCCAGAACUAAGAUGUCUUUAUUUAAAUAUUAUUUGGUAAUCUCCACAUCAUUUUGUGUGUUUUGUAUAUUGAAUUUGUAAGGUCCUAAUUUCAGAUAUAUAAAAUAUAUACAAUGCACUGAUAUCUGGGAAAAAUGCACAAGAGGUGAGUUGUUCAAAUCUAUCCAUAUCAUCCAUUCUAAAAUUUGGAGAUACGACUCAGAAUCCUAGGCCAGUUAAUUGUACAUUAAGUGUUGUGCAUGCUUUCACAUUCUGGUGAGCAAUGAGGGAGAAGUGAUAGACAAGACAGCAAGAGAUGGGCUGCUCUUUGGCCCUUGCAUUUUGGGACCAGGCAGGUUCUGGGUUGUUUUUCAUUGCUGUUUGCUCACAGUUCCAGAAUAACACUGAUUUUUUUUAAUGUGAGGUAUUAAUAUUUUGGGCAGCAAUGCCUCUUGAUGGCUAUUACAGUAAAUUCCAGCAGCCAGUAUAAUCAACGCAAAGUGAGAUGGGCUGUUUAAUCAAUUAAAUUAAACAUAGUUUAAUGCACAGAAGAGUUCAUUUUUGAAAAUUAUUUUUUUAAAUUGUGGUAAGAUAUACAUAACAUAUUGCUUACCAUUUUCAUUAUUUUUUAGUGUACAGUUCAGGGGCAUUAAAUACAUUCACAUUGUGCAACCAUCACCACCAUCCAUCCACAGAACUUUUUACAUCUUGCAGAACUGAAACUCUGUACCCAUUAAACAAUAACUCUCCAUUAACCCCUCCCACCAGCCCCUGGUACCUACCAUUCUACUAUCUGUUUCUGUCAUACACUAUUUGUCCUCUUGUGACUGGCUUAUUUCACUUAGCAUAAAGUCUUCAAGCAUAUGUCAGAGUUUUCUUCCUUUUUAAUGCUGAAUAAUAUUUCAUUGUAUGUAUACACCCCAUUUUGUUUAUCUGUUCCUCCAUCAGUGAACACUUGAGUUGCUUCCACCUUUUGGUGAUUGAGAAUAACGCUGCUAUGAGCAUGAGUGGUAUGGUCUGGUUCUGUGCCCGCACUCAACUCUCAUCUUGCAUUGUAAUCUGAGUAUGUUGGGGGAGGGACCUCAGGGAGAUGAUUAGAUCAUGGGGACAGUCCCCUAUGCUCUUCUUAUGAUAGGGAGUGAGUUCUCUCUGAGAUCUGAUGCUUUUACAAGGGGCUUUUCCCCCUUUGCUUGACACUUCUCCACCCUGCUGCCAUGUGAAGAAGGACAUGUUUGCUUCCCCUUCUACUAUGGUUGGAAGUUUCCUGAGGCCUCCCCAACCACUGAACUGUGGGUCAAUUAAACCUCUUUCUUUUAUAAGUCACCCAGUCUCUGGUAUGUCUUUAUUAGUAUCAUGAGAAUGGACUAAUGCAAUGAGUAUACAAAUAUCUCACUGUGUCCCUGAUUUCAAUUAUUUUGGGUACAUACCAGAAGUGUUAUUGCUGAUCAUAUGGUAAUUAUAUUUUUUAAUUUUCUAAGGGAACAAUGUGUUGUUUUCUAUAGCAGUUAUAGCAUUUUACAUCCCCACCAGUAGUGCACAAGAGUUCUGAUUUCUCUACGUUCUUGCCAACAUGUAUUAUUUUCUGUUUUUUUUGUUUUGUUUUGUUUUUAAUAAGAGCUGUCCUCAUGUGUGUGAAAUUUUAUCUCAUUGAGGUUUUGAUUUUCAUUUCCCUGAUAAUUAGUGAUUUUGAACACCUUUUAACGUGUUUAUUGGCCAUUCGUGUAUCUUUGGAGAAAUAUCUAUUCAAUUUCGUUUCCAUUUUUUGAAUUAGGUUAUUUGGGUUUUGUUUCGGUUGUGUUUUAGAAUUUCUCUGUGAAUUCUUGAAACAAAUCCCUUAUCAGAUAUUUGAUUUGCAAUAUUUCCCCCCCAUUUGGUGGGUUACCUUUUUACUCUGUGGAUAGUGUCCUUUGAUGCAUACUUUUUCGUUUUGAUGAGGUCAAAUUAUUUUAUAUUUUCUUUUGUUGCUUGUUUCUUUGGUAUGAUAUCUAAGAAAUCAUUGCCAAAUUCAAUGUGAAGCUUUUCCUGUAUGCUUUCUUCUAAGAGUUUUAUAGUUUUAGCUCUUACAUUUAUGUCAUUGAUUUAUUUGGAGUUAUUUUUGUAUGCAGUGUUAGAAUAUAAUGUUGUCAAAAAUUGUUGUACGUAACAUUCUUUUGCAUGUGGAUAUACAGUUUUCCUAGCACCACUUGUUGAAAAGAAAAGUCAGUUCAUUUUAACUUCAUGUCAUUAGUGCACUUUGCUGAGUACAGGAUAAUCUAGAUACAAUAGAAUCAGUAUUACAGUUAGCUACUGGAUUUGAAUCCCAAACAUGCCACUUGUUAGCAGUGACACUGAGUAAUUCACUUAAGUGCCUGAACCAUAGCUUUCUGAUCUUCACUCUAUUAUUCAUACACUCAUAUUUGCCAGGUUCUAUGUUAGGUUAUGGAAAUCCAAUAGUUGACAAGACAAGCAAACUCCAAUUCUCAUGGAACUUACGUUACAGUAAUAUGUCAAGUAGGAGUGGAAUAUACAAUUCCUACUUCUUAGAGUUGCUGUGAGGAUGAAACGAG